rnacentral:rRNA from 1 species
UAUGGUUGUGUGCCAGCAGCCGCGGUAAUACGGAAGGUCCGGGCGUUAUCCGGAUUUAUUGGGUUUAAAGGGAGCGUAGGCCGUUUGGUAAGCGUGUUGUGAAAUGUCGGGGCUCAACCUGGGCAUUGCAGCGCGAACUGCCAGACUUGAGUGCGCAGGAAGUAGGCGGAAUUCGUCGUGUAGCGGUGAAAUGCUUAGAUAUGACGAAGAACUCCGAUUGCGAAGGCAGCCUGCUGUAGCGCAACUGACGCUGAAGCUCGAAAGCGUGGGUAUCGAACAGG